ACUACGGGAGGCAGCAGUGAGGAAUAUUGGUCAAUGGACGAGAGUCUGAACCAGCCAAGUAGCGUGAAGGAUGACUGCCCUAUGGGUUGUAAACUUCUUUUAUAUGGGAAUAAAAUGUUCCACGUGUGGGAUUUUGUCUGUACCAUAUGAAUAAGGAUCGGCUAACUCCGUGACAGCAGCCGCGGUAAUACGGAGGAUCCGAGCGUUAUCCGGAUUUAUUGGGUUUAAAGGGAGCGUAGGUGGAUUGUUAAGUUAGUUGUGAAAGUUUGCGGCUCAACCGUAAAAUUGCAGUUGAAACUGGCAGUCUUGAGUACAGUAGAGGUGGGCGGAAUUCGUGGUGUAGCGGUGAAAUGCUUAGAUAUCACGAAGAACUCCGAUUGCGAAGGCAGCUCACUGGACUGCAACUGACACUGAGGCUCGAAAGUGUGGGUAUCAAACAGGAUUAGAUACCCGGGUAGUC
rnacentral:rRNA from 1 species